GACAGAGGUGGCGAGCGUUGUUCGGAAUUACUGGGCUUAAAGGGCGAGUAGGCGUCCCGGUAAGUCGGAUGUGGAAUCUUUUUGCUUAACGAAAAAAUUGCAUCUGAAACUAUCGGGAUUGAGUCAGUGAGGGGAGGGCGGAAUUCCUGGUGUAGCGGUGAAAUGCGUAGAUAUCAGGAGGAAGGCCUGUGGCGAAGGCGGCCCUCUGGCACUGUACUGACGCUGAGGCGCGAAAGCGUGGGGAGCAAACAGG
rnacentral:rRNA from 1 species